GGCACGAUGCAGGAUGGGCAGGAGAUUGCAGUGAAGAGGUUGUCGAAAACCUCACGGCAAGGGCAUUUGGAGAUGAAGACCGAGGUUGUGUUGCUUGCGAAGCUCAAGCACAAGAAUCUGGUGCGCUUGUUAGGUUGCUGCAUCCAAGAGGGGGAGAAACUCCUCGUUUACGAGUUCCUCUGCAACAAAAGCCUUGACAAAAUCCUAUUCGAACCUUCAAGGCAUCAAGAGCUAAGAUGGGAGAACAGGUACAAGAUCAUCCAAGGGAUCGCCCGAGGUCUUCUUUAUCUUCAUGAAGACUCGAGAUUGACGAUCAUCCACCGGGAUCUCAAGGCGAGCAACAUCUUGUUAGACCCCAACAUGAACCCCAAGAUCUCUGAUUUUGGGCUUGCCAAGCUAUUCCCCAUUGAUGUUAGCGUAGGAAACACAAGCCGCAUUGCCGGAACAUACGGAUACAUGGCGCCGGAAUACGCCCUGCGUGGCAUCUUCUCGGCCAAGUCAGACGUGUUCAGUUACGGCGUCCUUGUUCUGGAGAUCGUCACAGGCCGCCGCAACUACUGCUGCCAGCAUUCAGGAGGAUCUGAAGAUCUUGUAGCCACU
rnacentral:rRNA from 1 species